CAGUCUCGGCCGAGUGCGUGGAGGAGGAGGUCGUGUUUCCUCCUUCGCUCUCUCGCUUCUCCUGCGGCGCUCGAUGCUUGCAAAAGUCGUCGACCUGUUCUGCGUAUUGCGUGGCAGGAGAGAAAUGCCGCCUACUGAACCUCGCCGCGGCCCCCGGAGGUCCUGCCUCGCCCCAGGAAGGUUCGUCAGAGAUGUGUUUCGUCCCCGUAGACCCCUCAGGACCCACGGGCGAGGACCUGGCGCGGGGGAGGCCGGUUGAAGCCCCUGGGACCUGGGAUGACUAUUAUGCGCCUGCGGAGACCGUGGUGAGCGGCGCCAUCUGCGAGGUUCCGGGACAUAGCUGCUACUGCUCCGACUUCGAGUUAACGCCCAUCUUCAAGGUGGACCUCGGGACGUCCAAG